CACAAGUUGAGUAACCCUUACUGGGUUGAGGCCCUGGCACCUACGUUAUCAGUGACUCGAUAUUCCUGAGAACAUCAUGGACAUGAACAGAAGAGAUAGAGAGGCAUCAGGUGGCAGCAAUAUAUGCAUAGGAAGUUAUAAAGGAAGAAGAAAAGCAGGCUGUGAAGACAAGAUUAUCACAGAUGAAUUGUUGGGCUCUGAAGAAGAAUGUUGACAAAUACAAGACUGCUACAGACAACUAGAAGUAACCUCGUGGUCACAGCCCUGGAACUACAACCACCCCAAUAUCUGCGGAAGGGAUAACACAGGAGAACAUAAUCUGAAAGAUUAUGGAGAGCACUGGGGACAACAACUUCCUGACCCAAGUGGUAGAGUAAUGAGGAGAAGUGCUCUGCUGGACCUCAUACUCAUGAACAAGAAAAGACAAAUG
ensembl:lncRNA